GACGAACGCUGGCGGCGUGCCUAAUACAUGCAAGUCGAGCGAAGUUUUUCUGGUGCUUGCACUAGAAAAACUUAGCGGCGAACGGGUGAGUAACACGUAAAGAACCUGCCUCAUAGACUGGGACAACUAUUGGAAACGAUAGCUAAUACCGGAUAACAGUAUUUCUCGCAUGAGAGAUAUUUAAAAGUUGGUUAUGCUAACACUAUGAGAUGGCUUUGCGGUGCAUUAGCUAGUUGGUGGGGUAAAGGCCCACCAAGGCGACGAUGCAUAGCCGACCUGAGAGGGUGAUCGGCCACACUGGGACUGAGACACGGCCCAGACUCCUACGGGAGGCAGCAGUAGGGAAUCUUCCGCAAUGGGCGAAAGCCUGACGGAGCAACGCCGCGUGAGUGAAGAAGGAUUUCGGUUCGUAAAGCUCUGCUGUUAGGGAAGAAUGGAUAUGUAGUAACUAUACAUGUAAGAGACGGUACCUAACCAGAAAGCCACGGCUAACUACGU
rnacentral:rRNA from 1 species